CCGCAGGUGGAAACUACUGCUCUCGCGAUAAUGGAGGCUGUUCUCAUUUAUGUCUGCCACAUCCGGGUGGAUUCACCUGCCGCUGUCCCGACGCCAGUGAUGCUUCAUGUGUCGAAGAUGACCAAAACUUCUGAGAACCGAACAGCAGCUCCGUCCCGUCAGGAGGACACAAUCAGUACAGUGAGGGAGACUAGAGAUUCUAAUCUGCCAAUAGCAGUGUUUUGCGCUAUUGUAUUGUUACGUUAUUGUUCGUUGUGGUUACUAAGAGACGUCGAUCAAAUCAGGGAUUCCUUUUCCUUAAAAUCUUUCAAAAGUACUAAACUGUAUGGAAGCUUGUUUCGAUCAUGGAAGAAAAAACGUAAUUGUAAAUUCGUAACUCUUUCCUACAUUUAUAGAUUUAUAUCUUAUUAAUUUAUAUCUAGCAAUGCUGACUUUUUUCGCUAUUACGAAUUAAUAUCUUUCGACUUUUUUCGCAAGUAUUUUUUUAUAUCUUACAAUUCUGACAUUUUUACAAUUACAAGUUUAUACCUUGCGCAAUUAUUACUUUUUUCGCAAUUACAAGUUUAUAUUUUGCAAUUCUGACGUUUUUUUUCAAUUAUGAGUUUUUAUAUUGCAACUAUUUUUUUUUUUGCAAUCCUGA